GUGCAGCCUCCGCGGUAAUACCGGCAGCCCGAGUGAUGGCCGAUAUUAUUGGGCCUAAAGCGUCCGUAGCUGGCCGAACAAGUCCGUCGGGAAAUCCACGUGCUUAACGCGUGGGCGACCGGCGGAAACUGUUCGGCUUGGGGUCGGAGGACCCGAGGGGUACGUCCGGGGUAGGAGUGAAAUCCUGUAAUCCUGGACGGACCGCCGGUGGCAAAAGCGCCUCGGGAAGACGGACCCGACAGUGAGGGACGAAAGCUGGGAUCUCGAACCGGAUUAGAUACCCGUGUAGUCC
rnacentral:rRNA from 1 species